AAUUUUGGGCAAUGGGCGAAAGCCUGACCCAGCAACGCCGCGUGAAGGAUGAAGUAUUUCGGUAUGUAAACUUCGAAAGAAUAGGAAGAAUAAAUGACGGUACUAUUUAUAAGGUCCGGCUAACUACGUGCCAGCAGCCGCGGUAAUACGUAGGGACCAAGCGUUGUUCGGAUUUACUGGGCGUAAAGGGCGCGUAGGCGGCAUAUUAAGUCAGCUGUGAAAUCUUCGAGCUUAACUCGGAACGGUCAGCUGAUACUGAUGUGCUAGAGUGCAGAAGGGGCAAUCGGAAUUCUUGGUGUAGCGGUGAAAUGCGUAGAUAUCAAGAGGAACACCUGAGGUGAAGACGGGUUGCUGGGCUGACACUGACGCUGAGGCGCGAAAGCUAGGGGAGCAAACGGG
rnacentral:rRNA from 1 species